rnacentral:rRNA from 1 species
GACGAACGCUGGCGGCGUGCUUAACACAUGCCAGUCGAACGGAAAGGCCCCUUUGGGGGUACUCGAGUGGCGAACGGGUGAGUAACACGUGAGUAACCUGCCCUUGACUUCGGGAUAACUUCAGGAAACUGGGGCUAAUACCGGAUAGGAAUCCUUGCUGCAUGGUGGGGGUUGGAAAGCUUCGGCGGUUUUGGAUGGACUCGCGGCUUAUCAGCUUGUUGGUGGGGUAGUGGCUUACCAAGGCUUUGACGGGUAGCCGGCCUGAGAGGGCGACCGGCCACAUUGGGACUGAGAUUCGGCCCAGACUCCUACGGGAGGCAGCAGUGGGGAAGAUUGCACAAGGGGCGGAAGCCUGAUGCAGCAACGCCGCGGGCGGGAGGACGGCCUUCGGGUUGUAAACCGAUUUCAGCAGGGGCGAAGCUUGUGGUGACGGUACCUGCAGAAGAAGCACCGGCUAACUACGUG